CACCGAGCUCUUACCACACACACCCUGUGUGUUCAGCACAAAAACAGGAACGGGGAUUUGGUGCUUUGUGUUUAUCAAGAUAGUGAACCAAGGCCCGCAGCAACGCUUGCCUGGCUUCAUAUGGAAGCGCUUAAGGCUUUGAGAGUUAACACCUUGAAACAGAGGCCUGUUCUCAGCCUGUUUGUUCUUCAAGACGACUCGGCGGCAGCACGUGCGGCGGCGGCGGCUUCGGCGUGUCAAGACGGCAGUGAUUGAAUUUCUCCUCCUUCCUCGAGACGGAAGCGCAAAGCCGAUGAGUGAUUCCUGUGGAUGCACUUAAGGUUUUAGUUGCAGGCGUCGUCGUGCCUGGCCAGAUUUGAUAUGACACAUGAAACUAACUACACGGUACUUAGGGCCCGCUGUAAACCAAUCUGAAGCCGGUCGGGAAAACAGGUCCAUCAGAAGGGAGGCGUGUUGCUGUUGCCUGACAGAAGGACUUGCGAAACCACAUCAAUUAAAAUUCAUAAAGUUCAUUAGCUUCAGCAUUGGCAAGACGGCAGGAUGCGCUCGUCAGACUGGAAUUUUAAAUGCGUAGAUUACUAGGCGGUUCUUUCUUUGAAAUAUGAUCAAUAACGGUGUUGUGUAAACUUGAUCUUCACAAACAAAGGUAAAUUCAACAUGUUUAAAUGCUA